rnacentral:rRNA from 1 species
CCUACGGGUGGCUGCAGUGAGGAAUCUUCCACAAUGGGGGCAACCCUGAUGGAGCAACGCCGCGUGCAGGAUGAAGGCCUUCGGGUUGUAAACUGCUUUUAUAAGUGAGGAAUAUGACGGUAACUUAUGAAUAAGGAUCGGCUAACUACGUGCCAGCAGCCGCGGUCAUACGUAGGAUCCGAGCGUUAUCCGGAGUGACUGGGCGUAAAGAGUUGCGUAGGCGGCUCGUUAAGCGAGUAGUGAAAUCGUGUGGCUCAACCAUACGGCUAUUACUC